rnacentral:rRNA from 1 species
UACAGAGGGUGCAAGCGUUAAUCGGAUUUACUGGGCGUAAAGGGCGCGUAGGCGGUUAAAUGAGUGUGAUGUGAAAGCCCCGGGCUUAACCUGGGAAGUGCAUCGCAAACGAUUUAACUGGAGUAGAUGAGAGGGUGGCGGAAUUUCCGGUGUAGCGGUGAAAUGCGUAGAGAUCGGAAGGAACGUCAAUGGCGAAGGCAGCCACCUGGCAUCAUACUGACGCUGAGGCGCGAAAGCGUGGGGAGCAAACAGG